GUGUCAGCCGCCGCGGUAAUACGUAGGGUGCGAGCGUUAAUCGGAAUUACUGGGCGUAAAGUGUGCGCAGGUGGCUUCGCAAGUCGAGUGUGAAAUCCCCGGGCUUAACCUGGGAAUUGCGCUCGAAACUACGGAGCUGGAGUGUGGCAGAGGGAGGUGGAAUUCCACGUGUAGCGGUGAAAUGCGUAGAGAUGUGGAGGAACACCAAUGGCGAAGGCAGCCUCCUGGGCCAACACUGACACUCAUGCACGAAAGCGUGGGGAGCAAACAGGAUUAGAAACCCCCGUAGUCC
rnacentral:rRNA from 1 species